UAGCUAGUUGGUGAGGUAACGGCUUACCAAGGCGACGAUCUGUAGCGGGUCUGAGAGGAUGAUCCGCCACACUGGAACUGAGACACGGUCCAGACUCCUACGGGAGGCAGCAGUGGGGAAUUUUGGACAAUGGGGGCAACCCUGAUCCAGCCAUGCCGCGUGAGUGAAGAAGGCCUUCGGGUUGUAAAGCUCUUUCGGCCGGGAAGAAAUCGCAUGGGCCAAUACCCUGUGUGGAUGACGGUACCGGAAUAAGAAGCACCGGCCAACUACGUGCCAGCAGCCGCGGUAAUACGUAGGGUGCGAGCGUUAAUCGGAAUUACUGGGCGUAAAGCGUGCCCAGGCGGUUUUGUAAGACAGGCGUGAAAUCCCCGGGCUCAACCUGGGAACUGCGUUUGUGACUGCAAGGCUAGAGUACGGCAGAGGGGGGUGGAAUUCCACGUGUAUCAGUGAAAUGCGUAGAGAUGUGGAGGAACACCAAUGGCGAAGGCAGCCCCCUGGGUCGAUACUGACGCUCAUGCACGAAAGCGUGGGUAGCAAACAGGAUUAGAUACCCUGGUAGUCCACGCCCUAAACUAUGUCAACUAGGUGUUGGGUGGGUAAAACCAUUUAGUACCGUAGCUAACGCGUGAAGUCGACCGCCUGGGGAGUACGGCCGCAAGGUUAAAACUCAAAGGAAUUGACGGGGACCCGCACAAGCGGUGGAUGAUGUGGAUUAAUUCGAUGCAACGCGAAAAACCUUACCUACCCUUGACAUGCCAGGAACUUGCCAGAGAUGGCUUGGUGCCCGAAAGGGAGCCUGGACACAGGUGCUGCAUGGCUGUCGUCAGCUCGUGUCAUGAGAUGUUGGGUUAAGUCCCGCAACGAGCGCAACCCUUGUCGUUAAUUGCCAUCAUUUAGUUGGGCACUUUAGCGAGACUGCCGAUGACAAACCGGAGGAAGGUGGGGAUGACGUCAAGUCCUCAUGGCCCUUAUGGGUAGGGCUUCACACGUCAUACAAUGGUCGGUACAAAGGGUCGCCAAGCCGCGAGGUGGAGCCAAUCCCAGAAAGCCGAUCGUAGUCCGGAUUGCAGGCUGCAACUCGCCUGCAUGAAGUCGGAAUCGCUAGUAAUCGUGGAUCAGCAUGUCACGGUGAAUACGUUCCCGGGUCUUGUACACACCGCCCGUCACACCAUGGGAGCGGGUUCCGCCAGAAGUAGGUAGCCUAACCGUAAGGAGGGCGCUUACCACGGCGGGGUUCGUGACUGGGGUGAAGUCGGAACAAGGUAGCCGUAGGGGAACCUGCGGCUG
rnacentral:rRNA from 1 species